CCCCUGCCUGCUAAAUAGUUGGGCGAAUGAAUGUUCAUUGGCCGCAGCUUCUUAGAGGGACGUGCGUUCUAUUAGACGCAGGAAGAUAGGGGCAAUAACAGGUCUGUGAUGCCCUUAGAUGUCCUGGGCCGCACGCGCGUUACACUGAUGCACUCAACGAGUCUGCCUUGGCCGAGAGGCCUGGGAAAUCUUGUUAACAUGCAUCGUGAUAGGGAUAGAUUAUUGCAAUUAUUAAUCUUGAACGAGGAAUUCCUAGUAAACGCAGAUCAUCAAUCUGCAUUGAUUACGUCCCUGCCCUUUGUACACACCGCCCGUCGCACCUACCGAUUGAAUGGUCCGGUGAAGCCUCGGGAUUGCGAUGAGUUUCCUUCAUUGGGAGUUCGUCGCGAGAACCUGUCUAAACCUUAUCAUUUAGAGGAAGGUGAAGUCGUAACAAGGUUUCC
rnacentral:rRNA from 2 species